CUGAAAGACCUCACAGCUGAGAACCUGGUCACACUGCUGAAAUGUAAACUAUCAGAGAACAACACAUACUCCAAAGAGACCUGGAAGCUGUUCUUCACUAAAGCUUCUGCAGUUCUGGAUCAGGCUCUUGUACUUCUCUCCAACCAGUCUGAGCCUGUGAUUGGCCCUGCAGUAUCCCAGGCACUGGAUGUGAUUGGAGAGAUCAGGGUCAACAGACUGACUGAGGAUCAGCUGAGAGACAGUGUUGUCAUCAGGAAGUGGUUCUCUGGGCGUCUGAGACUGUUCCUGCCGUCUGCAUCAGGAGGGUUUCUGCACUGCCUCAGCACCAAGAACCUCAGCUGUGACACGUAUCAACAGAUACUGAGGGAGUUCAGCAAUCAAUUUGACCAAAUGGACCAGAAGAGACAAGAGCUGGUGGUAAAAUACUUCAUCCAGCCCUUCCUGACCAAAAACUCCUCAGACUCUGGCUGUGUGUCCAACUCUAACAGCAGUGUGGACUGGCUGCAGAAGAACUUGGGGCGGUUUUCAGUCCUGCUGUCCCUCAGCGACCUGUUGAAACUCAACACAGACUUCUCUCCGUUGUCAUCCCUGGAGGUUCUCUCUUCAAAGCAGACUGCAGAGCUGUUGGUGUUGCCUCUUCCUGGUCCUCCAGAGAAAGCUGUCAUCAUCAACACAGUAUUUGACUACCUGACUGAGUCACCAAGGGAGAGGAGACUCCCUGAGUUCCUGCAACAACUUGUCAGCCUGACCAAACAGGAAAAUAUCCCUUGUGCCUCCUACAAGAUCAUUUUCACCAGACUGGACGAGGCCGUACCCACUGUUACCAUGGAGAUAGAGUCAGCCCUCACCUCCAGCAAGACGGCUUUACUACAGACCGUCCCAUCAGGUUGCAUUGUAUACAGUGGAGAGUGCAAUGUCACCCCAGUUAAUGAGACAAAAGUUUGUGCUGGCGUCGACAGCACUGCUCUACAGGGUCACCUUGACAACGGGCAGAUCAGCGGAGUCCUCUGUGAUUUCAGCGUCGAUGUUUACGCUUGUGGCUCGCUGUCUGUGUUGACAUCAGAUAACUUGGUGAGCCUGUUGAAGUGUAAGCUGUCUGGAAACACCAGCCACUCAGCACAGAUCUGGAAACUGUUCUUCUCUAAGGUCUCAGUGGUUCUGGACUCAGCCCUGGAUCUCUUCUCCAACACCACACUAGACCCCAGCUCUCCAGCAGUGUCCCAGGCCCUGGAUGCUAUAAGAGAAGUAAGGCUGGACAGCUUCAGCCUGGCUAGUCUCAGAGAUCAGAAAAUCAUCAACCUCUGGUUCAACACCAGACUCCGUCCCUUCCUACCUGCCGUCUCCACUGACUUCCUGUCCUGCCUCAGCACCAAGAACUUCAGCUGCUCCACCUACCAGACCAUCGUUCAGAUCCUGAGCAGCCACCACUCAGCCAUGGACCAGUCCAGACAGAUAUCAGUCUACACUACCUUCAUAGAGGUCUUUCUCUCCAGGAACAACACAGCAGACCCCAGCUGUAGCUCUGACACCCUGAACAGUGAAGACUGGCUGCUGAAGAACUUCAGAGGAUUCUCUGCCUUCGCCUCCUUCAAGGACAUGCAGAGACUACUGACCACCUUCUCUGUGAUGGAGGCCCUGCCCCAGCUAACAGUGAGACAGUUAGCAGAGGUGUCCUCUAGUCCAGACCAGCUCAGCUCUGCUGCAGACGUCACCAUGCUGAUGAACUACGUACCCAACAUCCUCUUCACUGACUUCUUCAAUGACUUCUCUCUAGCCAUCACCGGUCAAGAGUCUAAGUUCCCAGUGGCGGUACGUUCAGCCAUGCUCCAGCAGGUGUUUGAACGCGGGAACCUAUCAGACCGCUCUGUUAGCGACCAGGAAGUACUCACCUGGCUUCAGAGCAGGCUCCGCCCACUGCUGAUCAACCUGUCCCCGCUCCACGUCGCCCCCCUCUUCAGUGUGGUCGCACAGAGGAACUGCAACAUCGGACAGCAGCUGGUGGAGGUGCUGAACGCCACCCUCCCUACACUUCAGGACAACACACAGGGAAACAUCUACGAUCAAAUCACCCUCUCCCUCCAAGGCUCCUCCCCACUCCGUUGCUAUGGCGCAAACUACAACCACAGUUUCUAUGGUUACCUGGAGAGUUCCUUCCUGAGUUUCGGCUUCCCCAACCUGACCACCUUCCUCUCCCUCAUACCCCAUAGCCAGAUGGAACAGCUGGUGAACUCUCUGCCUGUCUCUGACCUGGGUCGUUUCCUGCGCCGCCCCAACGUUGUCGACGACGACACAAAGCUCUGCCAACUCUACAGCAACUACGCCAAGACCCCACUGUUCCUGGGGACUGAGAGUAUCCCUGAGUCAGUGAGGCGUCCCACACUGCCGUGUGUCUGGCCCCAGGCUCUCAGCAGCAGUCAGAGGUCAGAGGUCAACGCCUGGUUUGACCUGAGGCUGAAGAACUACCUGCCCUUCCUCACCAGGAGCCUGGUGACCUCCGCCGCUGUCAAGACCGCCCCUUGUCUGGCCUUCCAGAAACUCAUCUCAAUUCUGGGGAGUUAUAACUACAGCGCUGCAGACUUUGUGGAGAGAGAUGUGUACAGGGAGACCAUCAAGACGUAUCUCACCUCAGCCUCGGCUCCUAAGUGUUACAAUGCCAGUGAUCCAGAGCUCAGCUCAACUGCCUGGUUUGCUGAGAACAUCGGACUCUUCAUCACUUAUCUUACCUUGGAAGACCUCAACACCUUCGGAUCAGCACAGGUACUGUACUGUGGUGUAUAGACACACACACACACACACACACACACACACACACACACACACACACACACACACACACACAGCUUCUACUUGAGCAUCAUUGAAGAGGAUGAAUUUCCAAUUAUCAAAUUGCUAAUUGAGUUUACUUCCUGAAUUGACUGCUUUCAAUUCAAACUGGCACAAACCUGGAAUGGAUGGCUUGUUAUUAAUCCCUGUGUGUGUUGUCUCCCUCCUCCUCCUCUUCCUCCUCCCCUUCCUCCUCCUCCUCCUCUUCCUCCUCCUCUUCUUCCCCUUCCUCCACCUCCUCAUCUUCCUCCUCUCCUUCUUCCCCGUCAUCCACCUCCUCCUCCUCACCUUCUUCCUCCUCCUCCUCCUCUUCCUCCUCUUCUUCCCCUUCCUCCACCUCCUCCUCCUCCACUUCCUCCUCCUCCUCUUCCUCAUCCUCCUGCUCACCUUCCUCACCUCCUCCUCCUCUUCCUCCUCUUCCUCCCCUUCCUCCUCCUCCUCCUCUCCCUCCUCCCCCUCUUCUUCCCCUUCCUCCACCUCAUCUUCCUCCUCCUCCACCUCCUCCUCCUCCUCCCCC
rnacentral:lncRNA from 8 species